rnacentral:rRNA from 1 species
UACGAAGGGAGCUAGCGUUGUUCGGAAUCACUGGGCGUAAAGCGCACGUAGGCGGGUCUUUAAGUCAGGGGUGAAAUCCUGGAGCUCAACUCCAGAACUGCCUUUGAUACUGAGGAUCUUGAGUACGGGAGAGGUGAGUGGAACUGCGAGUGUAGAGGUGAAAUUCGUAGAUAUUCGCAAGAACACCAGUGGCGAAGGCGGCUCACUGGCCCGUAACUGACGCUGAGGCACGAAAGCGUGGGGAGCAAACAGG